rnacentral:rRNA from 1 species
AUGGACGCCGUAGGACGCAGGCCGCAGGGGUUGUGGACGUACGAUGCGGAGGCGUCCCAAGUGCGACUGUACAGGGAGCCGGAGUGCGAGUUCCUGACGGAGCAGGUGACCUGCAUGCGCAACGGCCGGCGCGAUGACUCGUACCAGCGGUGGCGCUGGCAGCCUUCCUCCUGCGACCACCCCAGGUUCGAUGCGCGGUUGCUGCUGGAGCGGCUGUGGAAGAAGAGGCUGAUGUUCGUGGGGGACUCCCUGAAGUCGAUGGUGUGCCUGGUGUCGUCGGCGAUCCCGUCGCGCGACCAAAAGUCCCUGGCCAAGUUCGUGGGGCCCAACGGCUCUCUCAACGUGUUCAUGGCGGCGGAUUACAACGCGACGGUGGAGUUCUACUGGGAGCUCCAAGCCUCCAACUCGGAUGACCCGCAGGCGCACGGCGUGCUGGACCCCGUCAUCGCCUGGCGGUCCAUUCCCAAGCACGCCCGGCACUAG